ACGGCAGCACGGAGCUUGCUCUGGUGGCGAGUGGCGAACGGGUGAGUAAUAUAUCGGAACGUACCCUGGAGUGGGGGAUAACGUAGCGAAAGUUACGCUAAUACCGCAUACGAUCUAAGGAUGAAAGUGGGGGAUCGCAAGACCUCAUGCUCGUGGAGCGGCCGAUAUCUGAUUAGCUAGUUGGUAGGGUAAAAGCCUACCAAGGCAUCGAUCAGUAGCUGGUCUGAGAGGACGACCAGCCACACUGGAACUGAGACACGGUCCAGACUCCUACGGGAGGCAGCAGUGGGGAAUUUUGGACAAUGGGCGAAAGCCUGAUCCAGCAAUGCCGCGUGAGUGAAGAAGGCCUUCGGGUUGUAAAGCUCUUUUGUCAGGGAAGAAACGGUGAAGGCUAAUAUCCUUUGCUAAUGACGGUACCUGAAGAAUAAGCACCGGCUAACUACGUGCCAGCAGCCGCGGUAAUACGUAGGGUGCAAGCGUUAAUCGGAAUUACUGGGCGUAAAGCGUGCGCAGGCGGUUUUGUAAGUCUGAUGUGAAAUCCCCGGGCUCAACCUGGGAAUUGCAUUGGAGACUGCAAGGCUAGAAUCUGGCAGAGGGGGGUAGAAUUCCACGUGUAGCAGUGAAAUGCGUAGAUAUGUGGAGGAACACCGAUG
rnacentral:rRNA from 1 species